AUGCAAGCAGCAGUCAGUGAUCUUAUUGGAUAUCAACACUCCCGGUUGAAGAGAAAGAGACCAAUGUUAGUCUUUGGGUUCAAUGAUGCAUCACAUGGACAUGCAGAGAUUGCUUCUGAUAACUUGCGUGUUCCAUUCAUGAAUAUCCUCCAUGGGGAAGGACAUGGUUUCGAGCUUACUGAAGGAAGGCUUGGUCCUGGAAGAUCACAUCAUUGCCUGAGACUAAGAGUAGCAGCAGAAUGUGGCACGCACAUGAUGGUUGAGCGGGCCCUAAGGACUGCUUUUGGAAAGAAGAUUGCACAGCAUGGUUCCUUUCAGUUGGACUGGCAAUGGAGUGCGUAUAUAAAGGAAAGAAAACUGGGAAGUGAUCACUUGGAGCAAACAUGUGUGCCACGUGACAGGCGCAUUCACGCUGCUGCGGCGGUGAUGUUUGGCAUCGGCUACAACUCUGACGGGAGUGCAUAUAUAAAGACAAAUCCUGGAAGUGAUCACCGGGAGCAAACCUAA
rnacentral:rRNA from 1 species